UUAAACAAGAUGUCAUGUUUUAAGAAUACUGAGCAAAACAGACUUUGCUGGAGCUCAGUGGCUGUGAGUGAAUUCCAAAGGACAUAGCAAAGGAGACCAAGCUGAUAGCAGAAGAAUAGCCUUAAGUAAGCUGAAAUACAUUGGCAAUAUAACAAAAAGGAGAAGGAAUAAGCAGCCUCUCUUUACUUUGUAUUUGCAAAAAAUGGUUGUCAUAAAAAAAUAGAAAAUCAUAGACAGCCUUUUCAGAUCACACUUUGAAGCUUUUGUGUUUUUAACAGCUACUAAGAGUGGGAGAGGGUGAUCCUGAAAAUCUAUUACAUAUAUGGGAUGAGUGACUAAAUACAAAACAUAAAAGGUAUAGUGCUUAAUAAUACUAAGAAAACAUCCACCCCUUGUCCCCUUGGUUAAAAAUAGGGCAUGUCAUCAAGAGCACUCAGAGCAACCAAAUCAUCCAAGAAAGUAUUUGAGGCUAUUUUCUAAGGACAAGGAAGCCCUUCAUACAGAAGCACAGCUGAUCCUACAAUGCCUCACAAAGCUUCCAAAGGACUAAUGGAUUCCCAAAGGUUUCCUUCAGUAUAAUAAACCUCUUCUACACCAUUUUACACUGAAAACCAAGAUGCAAGAUCAGCAGAUCAGCAAUAUAUAUGCGCAUGUGUAUAUUUCUCUGUCUCUGAAAUAAUAUUUGUUUUAUGAGCACCACCUUCACCACCUUUAAUUAGUGGACUUCCUUUACAUACGUAACAUGAAGAACCUUAUGCUGAGUUGCUGUGACUCAGUAGAAAUGCCUGUGCCUGUAUUUAGUAACAAUCAGUGUAGACUUACUGUCCCUUUCUUUUCUCUCAUAUCCCAUUGAACUGUGUUUACAUGACAAUGGUCUGGGAACAGGGGGGCUGCAGGGAUGGCCUCUGUGAGCAGAGCCCAGCAGCUGUCCCAUGGGAGAUCAGAGACAGCUCCAGUCAGCUCCAAAAGGAACCCACCAGUGGCCUGAGCCGAGCCAGUGAGUGAUGCUGGUUGGGCCUCUGGGAGAACAGAUUUAAGAAAGGGAAAAAAAUAAAAGCAAACAAAACAAACAAACA